rnacentral:rRNA from 1 species
UACGGAGGGUGCAAGCGUUAUCCGGAUUCACUGGGUUUAAAGGGUGCGUAGGAGGGCUAGUAAGUCCGUGGUGAAAUCUCCAAGCUUAACUUGGAAACUGCCGUGGAUACUAUUAGUCUUGAAUAUUGUGGAGGUAAGCGGAAUAUGUCAUGUAGCGGUGAAAUGCUUAGAUAUGACAUAGAACACCGAUAGCGAAGGCAGCUUACUACACAAUUAUUGACACUGAGGCACGAAAGCGUGGGGAGCGAGCAGG